GAUGAACGCUGGCGGCGUGCCUAAUACAUGCAAGUCGAGCGAAUGGAUUAAGAGCUUGCUCUUAUGAAGUUAGCGGCGGACGGGUGAGUAACACGUGGGUAACCUGCCCAUAAGACUGGGAUAACUCCGGGAAACCGGGGCUAAUACCGGAUAACAUUUUGAACCGCAUGGUUCGAAAUUGAAAGGCGGCUUCGGCUGUCACUUAUGGAUGGACCCGCGUCGCAUUAGCUAGUUGGUGAGGUAACGGCUCACCAAGGCAACGAUGCGUAGCCGCCCUGAGAGGGUGAUCGGCCACCCUGGGACUGAGACACGGCCCAGACUCCUACGGGAGGCAGCAGUAGGGAAUCUUCCGCAAUGGACGAAAGUCUGACGGAGCAACACCGCGUGAGUGAUGAAGGCUUUCGGGUCGUAAAACUCUGUUGUUAGGGAAGAACAAGUGCUAGUUGAAUAAGCUGGCACCUUGACGGUACCUAACCAGAAAGCCACGGCUAACUACGUGCCAGCAGCCGCCGCAG
rnacentral:rRNA from 1 species